GUAAUGCCGGAUGCUCCAGUUGAUCGCAUGGUCUUCUGGGAAAGCUUUCGCGGUAUGGGAUGGGGUCGCGUCCUAUCAGCUUGACGGCGGGGUAACGGCCCACCGUGGCUUCGACGGGUAGCCGGCCUGAGAGGGCGACCGGCCACAUUGGGACUGAGAUACGGCCCAGACUCCUACGGGAGGCAGCAGUGGGGAAUAUUGCACAAUGGGCGCAAGCCUGAUGCAGCGACGCCGCGUGAGGGAUGGAGGCCUUCGGGUUGUAAACCUCUUUUAUCGGGGAGCAAGCGAGAGUGAGUUUACCCGUUGAAUAAGCACCGGCUAACUACGUGCCAGCAGCCGCGGUAAUACGUAGGGUGCAAGCGUUAUCCGGAAUUAUUGGGCGUAAAGGGCUCGUAGGCGGUUCGUCGCGUCCGGUGUGAAAGUCCAUCGCUUAACGGUGGAUCCGCGCCGGGUACGGGCGGGCUUGAGUGCGGUAGGGGAGACUGGAAUUCCCGGUGUAACGGUGGAAUGUGUAGAUAUCGG
rnacentral:rRNA from 2 species